rnacentral:rRNA from 1 species
CAGCCGCCACGGUAAUACGAAGGGGGCUAGCGUUGUUCGGAAUUACUGGGCAUAAAGCGCACGUAGGCGGAUAUUUAAGUCAGGGGUGAAAUCCCGCAGCUCAACUGCGGAACUGCCUUUGAUACUGGGUAUCUUGAGUAUGGAAGAGGUUAGUGGAAUUGCGAGUGUAGAGGUGAAAUUCGUAGAUAUUCGCAGGAACACCAGUGGCGAAGGCGGCUAACUGGUCCAUAACUGACGCUGAGGUGCGAAAGCGUGGGGAGCAAACAGGAUUAGAUACCCCUGUAGUCCCUGUCUCUUAUAU